UACGUAGGGUGCAAGCGUUGCCCGGAAUUAUUGGGCGUAAAGAGCUCGUAGGCGGUCUGUUGCGUCGGCUGUGAAAACCCGGGGCUCAACCCCGGGCCUGCAGCCGAUACGGGCAGACUAGAGUUCGGCAGGGGAGACUGGAAUUCCUGGUGUAGCGGUGAAAUGCGCAGAUAUCAGGAGGAACACCGGUGGCGAAGGCGGGUCUCUGGGCCGAUACUGACGCUGAGGAGCGAAAGCGUGGGGAGCGAACAGG
rnacentral:rRNA from 1 species